UUUUCCUACGUCAAAAUCCCUUUUCUGACUCAUCAAGACAGUCUUUUACCGUCAAAAAAUUCUCUUGCUGCUUCUGAAGUCAAAACACAAAGACAGAGGUCCUCAACCUCUCGCCGAAGUAACCAGGUCCAUCACACCUGUUGCCCAACAAAGUGGCUUCCCACUGCUCUAUUCAAACAUACUGCUGCUACUUUCUUGGCCUAGUGUUGGCAAGAACCUACUUGUCUGCUACCCAGAGCCUAACUGCCAUUGUCACUCACACCGUGACAGAUGUAAGCGCGCCAUCCUGACGAGAGCACUAGAGGCUAGGAGAAACGAGGACACAAUGUACCUUAACAAUAUAGUUCCUACAAAAUAACGAUCAAACCUGACACUAUAUGAAUGAGAGUUUGUUUUGUCAAGUAAAAUCCAAAGGCUUUCGUAACAGAUGAAGCUUAUGUAUGUUUAUUCGUCGUUAUAAACCAUAUAUGCAAGACAGUCUUUUCAUUGAGAAUGAAUAUUUUUUGACAAAAUAAUGUAAAACAAGAAUAGGCCUAAAUCCGUCUAUUCAUGAUUACGUACCAUGUAUGAAAUUCACUUUUAAAAUGAGAACAAAAUAUGUACUCUACUUUCUGACAAAAGAAUCAAACAGUAUUGGACUGCAUAUGUUUUUUCAUUGCUUACAUCACGGAAGUUCAUUUUGAAAUUAAAUUAGACUAAUCAGCACGUUAAUGAAACACAGGAAGACAGUACUAUGGAUUUCAUUCAUUGUAACAUCAUAAGAAAGUCAGUCUUAAAAUGAAAACAAAUCAAUAUUAAACCCUUUGGAUUAAAUGAAAAAAUGUUAGGCCUACUAUAUGUGUCAACUUUGAAAUAAAAGCAAACGAUUACGAACAUAAUUAUCUUUCCAUGGAACUCUUCCUUCAUUCAUGAAAUAUUCAGUAAACAUUAUGAAAGUCCUUGAGCCAAAUUUAAACUCUUAACAAAUUCACAUGGGAGUAUUUUAUUAAUUUUCUUCAACCAUUCUUUCACUGGGCAUCUUACUUAACGUUUAUGAAUUUUAUUUGUUUUUAUGUCAACAAGCCAAUCACAGCCAGAGCAUCAUGUGUUGAUGCCAUGGCCACUACGGAGGACAGAGGAAAAAGAUGGUGUUGUUACUUGCAAAGAUUUGCCUGUGCAGUUACAAUUGUUAGUGGCGGGCUUUAUGGGGUAGUGCUGUAAAUGCACCUCUCAUGGUGCAAUGUACGCUGUGCUAAAGGGUGUUUGUAGCAUCCCAUCAGCCUCUAGUUGCAACCACCUUUGAGCCUUUUACUAUACAACCAUUCUUGUUCCUUUCUUCAGUCUUACUGUCUAACACCUCUAUUACUUUUUAGUAUAGCUGUAGGGUUUGCUCCCAGUUUUACCUUUAGGUCUUUGUCCAAGACCUCUAACUUUUAUUUCUUUGUGCAGCUGUGGGGUUUUCUCCAAGUUCUGCCUGUAGGUCUUUGUACUUCCUCUCAAUUUUUUUUUUAUCUCUCCAUCUUGUUGUCCAACUACACCAGUUCUGUCUUUUCACUCUUUUAAUUGCUGAAUAGCGAAAGUGCCCCAGUGCUUGGCUGGACAAUUUAAAUUUCAAUAAUCAGUCAAUCUACUAACAUAACCUAGCCAUCUUAUUAGGCAUAAAUGAUUGUAUAUGAUUUUAUUUGAAUAGCUUUCCCUUAAGAAUAGCUGGUUUGGCACUUAAGAUAGAUACUGUUUAAUUCUUUUUUUUCUUUCCUUGGUAUCAUCAUGAUAUAGGUGUGAGUUUGCAUCCGUGGUACCAAAUACUGUUGUUGAAAUAUCGGUCUAUUUGAUUUUCGUAUGAAACUGUCUUAAAGCUGCUGUCUAUAAUGUGUAUUUUUGUUGCAGAUAAUCAUUUUGAUGGCUCUAGCAAAAGGAAAGUCAGUAGUACGAUGUGGACCCCUUACUGAUCAUUCAAAAACUGCAAUACAUGUUGCAGAGCUUAUGACCAAGGUCAAAUUCAAUGUUCGGGAAGAUAAAGGUAGUGACUGUAUAUAUAUGGAAUGUGAGGGAAUUGGCUUGCUACCAAAACGGCGAUAAGGUAAACAUCCAAGAUAAGUAGAGGAUUGUUCUUAGCUAUGUUGGUUAAUCUCAUUCAUUAUGAUUCCUUGCUAUUAUGGUAGCAAUUGUUAAAAACCAAUAAUUUUUCACAUUAUUUUCUGUAUUUAUUUUAGUAUUUUUCCAACAUUUUUUAUGAAGUCCUCCACAAUUUAUUUGUGGCAGUUGGUGGUGAGGUUUGUUAGAACAGUUCAUUUAUUAUACAACAGAAAAAUUACAUGAAAGGGGAAUAAUAAUUAUAGCUAUAUCAGAAGCAUACUAAUUGUGCCCAAUAAUUUUGACAAUGCACAUGAUGAUCAUAGUAAUCUUGUUCAGGAUCAUUUUUACUUUCAAGAAAGUAUCAGCUUCGUAAUUUUGCUUUAGUGUUAUCAAAUUGACCAUGUUAGUGUCACUUCAAGACUAAAGAUAAAAAUAUUUUCAAAGUGAUAUUGUGAGAAUUGGGUCGUAAAUGUUGGAAUAAGCAUCAGGUUCCAUUUUAAACAGUAGACAGCAAUCUAUUAAUAUACCACUUUGUAAUGUUGCCACUAAUUUUGGCCUCAUGAUCAUGAACAAAUUGCAAAGGUCUGAAUGCUCUGUUAGAAUUAGACUACCCUAGAAGGUAGUCUGUCAAACAUAUGUAAUUCCAGGCUAGUUGGUACUGUACACUUUAUAAUAUACGUACUUCAAUGCUAGAAAAGCUGUACUCAGCUUUCAAGUUUAUUCCUCCAUGAAAGUUAUUACAAAGUUUUGACAUUCAAGUUGCUGUGGAAACAGUAUUCACAUAUUAGAUACUUUAGGGUUCCAUAACCCUUUAUAAGCUGAUAAUUGAUGGUUUUGCACAAACAGUUAAAUAUAUUGCAUUCUUUAGAUUGAUGUGUUUCCUUUUUGGUAUGAUGAUAAUAUACAUAGACAGUAUUUAGGUUACAGAAUAAUGUUUUAUAUACUUAUGUAAAUAUUACAUCUUGUAAAGUAUUUUACUUAAUUAAUUAUCAUUUAUGAUAUAGCCAAGGUAUAUUGGAUAUGUCUCAUCUUUUUUACUAAAAUAUUCUUUUUUUUAAUGAUGAUUCCUUGGAUAAAGGAAGUAAAGCAUAAUGUGUAAGUUAAUUUUGAAGUUAUAAAACAUGAAAUUGUCAUUAUUUUUGGUAACAGCAAAGAAUCAGUUAUCUAUUUUAUUUUACCUUCUCUUGCUCCUGUUAAAAAUUUUUUCAAGGAUAAAACUGCUGCAUUUGUUUUUCCAUUUGUGUGUUUUCCACUUCAGAAUUUACUGCAGUGUCUGUUGCACUUAUUUGAGUUGCUUGCAAGUUUUCAAAAGUAAAGUUUAUAUAGUUUAAAGAAAUGACUGCAUAAUUUGGAGAGGUGUUACUUUGAAGAAAAUAACAGCAGAAUGGGGACCUCCUGUAAUAGAUAUUACUGGAGUUGGUUCUUUUUGUCAUCUGUGAUGACUUUGCACUGAAUUUUAUGCUUCUAGUUAAACUUUGAAGUACAGCAAUGAAUGUAUUCUUAAAAUUCUUGCUGUAUAUAGUAAGAUUAUCAAUGUUGAAUAUUUUUUUCUGUUUGUUGUUUUGUAAAAUGUUAUACUCUUUGGAAGAGUCAUUAUCAGGUGUCAUUAUCUACUAAUAGAAUGGUAUUUAAUACAUAAUAAUAAAUGAGGCUACCUGAGUGUUGAAGUUAAAGUGAUUCCAGUUUUAACUGAAGCAGUAUUUUGUAACACUCAAAGUGCAGUAGUAUAGUGCAGCGUUAAUGGUAUGUAUUUGAUGUUUCCAUAUUAUAUCUCUUAAUACAAUAACAUUAUUCACCUAUAAGCGCAAGUAUUAUUGUAACUGUGAUAUUGUAAUGUGAGAAGUACUGUUACAGUGUUCUCUUCCUAUACAGUAAUAGACAUCUUGUAGUGUAUUUUCAUUACUAAUAUCAAUAACUUGCAUGCAAAAGGGCUCAGUUCCUUGUGCUGAUAUUUUAAAAAUAUAGUAAUCAAACCGGC